UCGCAAAUACACAUGGGAGAGCUCAGUGAUAAUAACUCAAAAAGGCGGUUAGAACUUGGGCUUAUUAGCACCCUAAUGAGAGAGCAAUGUAUUUGUAGAGAAGUGGAAAGACAAAGGAAGGGGACCUUGAGCUUCUGUGGAUAACAAGUUGUGGGAAGGUAGAUAUAUGGCAGAAGCUGACAGAUAAGGUUGAUUUGGCGUGCUUGUGAUGUUGAUUUUUCUGGUGCCACCUCUGGGCUGGUAAGAGCCAUCCUGCCCUUCUGGUAGAUGGGGACAGGGCAGAGAGUUUGUCCUGUGUCUACUUGGUCUCAGUUGUCUUCAGCUCAAAAUAAUCUUUAUGUCAGAGUGGCAUAUUUUGGGAUGGUAUACUCUAAGCCCCUUCAGCUGUGAAUUCAAAACAACUCUAAAAAGUCAAUUAAAAAUUAUAUUCCUAUAACAUGGCCCUUGCUGGUGGGGCUCAGGACACACCACCCCAAAAUAUGACAAUACAAAACCAGAUAUGUGAACACAAAAUAUACUUCUUAGGCAAAUUUUGAUCUUGUUAUUCUAAGAAAUUGCAGACACAGGAGUAGCUCUGAAAAGCUGCCCUUUUGUAAAAGAAAUUUAUAACUAUAAAAAAAAUCUACAUUAGUGAAUUAUCUGUAUCAGGAAGAGGGCUGGUUCCAGACAACUUCUAUAACCCCAGAGACUUUUCUCUGCAGAACAAGACACCUUUUAUUCACCAGACAUUGCCUCCCCUCACCCUCCCAGAACUUGUGCCCAUCCUCAGCAAGCCCCAAGCCCCUGUUCCUUUCUGUAACUCAGGACACUAUCUAAGCUUCAUUCAUCUGGCCCUUCUCCUCAUCCAUAUUUUGUGGGACUCCUGUGCAUAUAGACGUAAUUAAAGUUUUUUAUUCUCCUAUUAGCCCGUCUUAUGUCAAUUUAAUUCCUAGCCCAGCCAAAGAACCUAGAAGGGGAAGCCAUUUUUCCCUCCACUACCUGCUUUUCAAGAUCACAGUUUAUUGGAACCACUUCAGAGUUAACCCCCUGUAAAUACUUGUCAGUCCUCAUCUUUUCAAUGUUUUCACCUGACAUUCACUCUUUAUUUCACUCUUAGGUCUCCCAGCAGGUUGCUCAAGAAACUCUCCCUUGCUGUGGACACUGCUGACUUCUGUAAAAUACAUUUACAGGAGGCCAUUAGUUUGGACUGAGCUUCUGCACUAGGCCCAACAGACUGAGACGGAGCAUGGACCCCUAUUAGAGGCCUGCUGGGCCUCCUCCAGCAUGGAAACAAAGGAAAAUCUUGAUUUCCUUCAAGGGAAAUUCCAGGUACCUAGCUGGCCUUGAGAAGUAAAUGAGCCACCUGAUAAGCAAGAAGGGAAUAAUAGCUUCAAGUAACAGCCACUCAAGUAAGUCAGAGCCACAAGGUGUUUGGUCCCCUAUUGAAACUAAAGAUUACAUCUUAGCAUAUGUCCAUGAAUGGUUUUUCAGAAACCCGGACCCACGUCAGAUGGAAAAUACUGACCAUCAUCACAGAGACCUCAGAUGUCGGGGAGCUGAGGGCUGCACUCUGAUGGCUGCUCUUUGUUGUAAAUUUCUUUCUCAGGGGCCUGGAGGGAGUCAUGCCCACAGGCCACAUCUUAACAUUCCUUUCUGCUGACCCCAAGUUUUCAACAAAGCCUGGCUUCCUUAACCAAUUGCAAUCAAAGAAUCCUGAAACCGCCUAUGACCUUUCCAUGAUGGAAAAUCUAAUGGCCACUUUCCAUUUACCACGUCAAAGGAACAGUCCAGGCUUCCCUUCAUUUCCACAAUGACCCCAACUGUUUUGCCACUCGCUCCUUGAAGAACAUCUGGAUUUGUUUCUGGCUUUUGGCUAUGAGGAAUAAGCCUGCUGAGAACAUUCAGCUCUAGGAUUUUGUGUGAAUGGACUGAAUUUACAGCUUACCAAGCCAGGCCAUUGCACUUUUGGACAACUCUACUAAAUGGAUUUUCCUCAUGCCAUCGCAUAACUGCUACCUGCCACCAGAGCCUUAGAAAUACAUGGCUUUCCAUCAAGCACUCAUGGAACAUGUCACUGUGGGCACUUCUAGGGGGGAUUCAUGAUGGAUCCUCCAAGAUCAACUAAAUAUAAAACAAACUCCCAGGUAACAGAACCAUUUCAGCUAUUAAAUAAAAUCAUCUG
rnacentral:lncRNA from 10 species